rnacentral:rRNA from 1 species
GACGAACCGUGCGAACGUUGUUCGGAUUCACUGGGCUUAAAGGGCGCGUAGGCGGACGGUCAAGUCAGGGGUGAAAUCUUUCAGCUCAACUGGAAAAGUGCCUUUGAUACUGAUCGUCUCGAGGGAGGUAGGGGCAUGUGGAACUUCCGGUGGAGCGGUGAAAUGCGUAGAUAUCGGAAGGAACGCCGGUGGCGAAAGCGAACGUGCUGGACCUCUUCUGACGCUGAGGCGCGAAAGCUAGGGGAGCAAACGGG